rnacentral:misc_RNA from 1 species
GAUGAAGAACGCAGCGAAAUGCGAUAAGUAAUGUGAAUUGCAGAAUUCAGUGAAUCAUCGAAUCUUUGAACGCACAUUGCGCCCCUUGGUAUUCCGGGGGGCAUGCCUCUUCCAGCGUCAUUGCUGCCCUCAAGCACGGCUUGUGUGUUGGGCCCCGUCCUCCGAUCCCGGGGGACGGGCCCGAAAGGCAGCGGCGGCACCGCGUCCGGUCCUCGAGCGUAUGGGGCUUUGUCACCCGCUCUGUAGGCCCGGCCGGCGCUUGCCGAUCAACCCAAAUUUUUAUCCAGGUUGACCUCGGAUCAGGUAGGGAUACCCGCUGAACUUAAGCAUAUCAAUAAGCGGAGGA